AUGACCCGGAUGGACUGAGCCUUCGCUGAGUCGGGAAGGCAGUUGCGGCGGAUUGUGACGUCAGACGAGUCCGUCCAACUCCUUUCCGUCUCGGCGUCGGGCGUCAUCAUUAACACCUACU
rnacentral:precursor_RNA from 12 species